GUUGUGGCUCAGCGGUAGAGCGCUUGCCUUGCAUGUGCAAGGCCCUGGGUUCAAUCCUCAGCACAACA
rnacentral:tRNA from 1 species